rnacentral:miRNA from 1 species
UAUUAGGUUGGUGCAAAAGUGAUUGUGGUUUUUGCCACUUAAAGUAAUGGCAAAAACUGCAAUUACUUUUGCACCGACUUAAUA